rnacentral:tRNA from 1 species
AUUAGCUCAGUUGGUAGAGCAAUUGACUCUUAAUCAAUGGGUCCAGGGUUCGAGUCCCUGA